rnacentral:rRNA from 1 species
GACGAACGCUGGCGGCGUGCUUAACACAUGCAAGUCGAACGGUGAAGGUGGAGCUUGCUCCGCCGGAUCAGUGGCGAACGGGUGAGUAACACGUGGGCAACCUGCCCCUGACUUCGGGAUAACUCCUCGAAAGAGGUGCUAAUACCGGAUACGAAUCCUGCAGGCAUCUGCGGGAUUGGAAAGUUUUUCGGUCAGGGAUGGGCCCGCGGCCUAUCAACUUGUUGGUGAGGUAGUGGCUCACCAAGGCGACGACGGGUGGCCGGCCUGCGAGGGCGACAGGCCACACUGGGACUGAGACACGGCCCAGACUCCUACGGGAGGCAGCAGUGGGGAAUAUUGCGCAAUGGACGAAAGUCGGACGCAGCGACGCCUCGUGAGGGACGAAGGUCUUCGGAUUGUAAACCUCUUUCAGCAGGGACGAAGCGAAAGUGACGGUACCUGCAGAAGAAGCACCGGCUAACUAUGUGCCAGCAGCCGCAGUAA